rnacentral:rRNA from 1 species
GUUUGAUCCUGGCUCAGAUUGAACGCUGGCGGCAUGCCUUACACAUGCAAGUCGAACGGUAACAGGUCUUCGGAUGCUGACGAGUGGCGAACGGGUGAGUAAUACAUCGGAACGUGCCCAGUAAUGGGGGAUAGCUCGGCGAAAGCCGGAUUAAUACCGCAUACGCCCUGAGGGGGAAAGUGGGGGACCGCAAGGCCUCACGUUAUUGGAGCGGCCGAUGGCUGAUUAGCUAGUUGGUAGGGUAAAGGCCUACCAAGGCGACGAUCAGUAGCUGGUCUGAGAGGACGAUCAGCCACACUGGGACUGAGACACGGCCCAGACUCCUACGGGAGGCAGCAGUGGGGAAUUUUGGACAAUGGGGGAAACCCUGAUCCAGCAAUGCCGCGUGUGCGAAGAAGGCCUUCGGGUUGUAAAGCACUUUUGUCAGGGAAGAAAUCCUUUGGGCUAAUACCCUAGGGGGAUGACGGUACCUGAAGAAUAAGCACCGGCUAACUACGUGCCAGCAGCCGCGGUAAU